rnacentral:rRNA from 1 species
GCUACAGGCUUAACACAUGCAAGUCGAGGGGCAUCAGGAAGAAAGCUUGCUUUCUUUGCUGGCGACCGGCGCACGGGUGAGUAACACGUAUCCAACCUGCCCUUUACUCGGGGAUAGCCUUUCGAAAGAAAGAUUAAUACCCGAUAGCAUAAUGAUUCCGCAUGGUUUCAUUAUUAAAGGAUUCCGGUAAAGGAUGGGGAUGCGUUCCAUUAGGUUGUUGGUGAGGUAACGGCCCACCAAGCCUUCGAUGGAUAGGGGUUCUGAGAGGAAGGUCCCCCACAUUGGAACUGAGACACGGUCCAAACUCCUACGGGAGGCAGCAGUGAGGAAUAUUGGUCAAUGGGCGCUAGCCUGAACCAGCCAAGUAGCGUGAAGGAUGAAGGCUCUAUGGGUCGUAAACUUCUUUUAUAUAAGAAUAAAGUGCAGUAUGUAUACUGUUUUGUAUGUAUUAUAUGAAUAAGGAUCGGCUAACUCCGUGCCAGCAGCCGCGGUAAUACGGAGGAUCCGAGCGUUAUCCGGAUUUAUUGGGUUUAAAGGGAGCGUAGGUGGACUGGUAAGUCAGUUGUGAAAGUUUGCGGCUCAACCGUAAAAUUGCAGUUGAUACUGUCAGUCUUGAGUACAGUAGAGGUGGGCGGAAUUCGUGGUGUAGCGGUGAAAUGCUUAGAUAUCACGAAGAACUCCGAUUGCGAAGGCAGCUCACUGGACUGCAACUGACACUGAUGCUCGAAAGUGUGGGUAUCAAACAGGAUUAGAUACCCUGGUAGUCCACACAGUAAACGAUGAAUACUCGCUGUUUGCGAUAUACAGUAAGCGGCCAAGCGAAAGCAUUAAGUAUUCCACCUGGGGAGUACGCCGGCAACGGUGAAACUCAAAGGAAUUGACGGGGGCCCGCACAAGCGGAGGAACAUGUGGUUUAAUUCGAUGAUACGCGAGGAACCUUACCCGGGCUUAAAUUGCAGUGGAAUGAUGUGGAAACAUGUCAGUGAGCAAUCACCGCUGUGAAGGUGCUGCAUGGUUGUCGUCAGCUCGUGCCGUGAGGUGUCGGCUUAAGUGCCAUAACGAGCGCAACCCUUAUCUUUAGUUACUAACAGGUUAUGCUGAGGACUCUAGAGAGACUGCCGUCGUAAGAUGUGAGGAAGGUGGGGAUGACGUCAAAUCAGCACGGCCCUUACGUCCGGGGCUACACACGUGUUACAAUGGGGGGUACAGAAGGCAGCUAGCGGGUGACCGUAUGCUAAUCCCAAAAUCCUCUCUCAGUUCGGAUCGAAGUCUGCAACCCGACUUCGUGAAGCUGGAUUCGCUAGUAAUCGCGCAUCAGCCACGGCGCGGUGAAUACGUUCCCGGGCCUUGUACACACCGCCCGUCAAGCCAUGGGAGCCGGGGGUACCUGAAGUACGUAACCGCAAGGAUCGUCCUAGGGUAAAACUGGUGACUGGGGCUAAAU